rnacentral:rRNA from 1 species
UACGUAGGGGGCAAGCGUUGUCCGGAUUUAUUGGGCGUAAAGAGCGUGUAGGCGGCCUGAAAGGUCAGCUGUGAAAACUCGAGGCUCAACCUCGAGACGUCGGUUGAAACCAUCUGGCUAGAGUCCGGAAGAGGAGAGUGGAAUUCCCGGUGUAGCGGUGAAAUGCGCAGAUAUCGGGAAGAACACCCGUGGCGAAGGCGGCUCUCUGGGCCGACACUGACACUGAGAGACGAAAGCUAGGGGAGCGAAUGGG